GAUUUCAAAUGAAAAAGUCAUAAAUAACAAAGUGGUAUAACUCAUCAAUAUCUAUAACUUUUAUUUUGGUUAUUUCUUCAUACGACAAAGUUAUUUGUAACACUGUUCACAAGAUGUACAUCUCUUAUAUAGUUUUAUAAACUAUAGAGAGAUAUGUAAAUUUUGUGAAAAUGUUACAACCACUUUGUAGAAUGAAGAAAUGACCAAAAUAGAAGUUAUAGAUCUUGAUGAGUUAUACAACUUUGUUGUUGUUGACUUUUUCAGCUAAAAUC
rnacentral:pre_miRNA from 1 species